CAGCAGCCGCGGUAAUACGGAGGGUGCAAGCGUUAAUCGGAAUUACUGGGCGUAAAGCGCACGCAGGCGGUCUGACAAGUCAGAUGUGAAAUCCCCGGGCUUAACCUGGGAACUGCAUUUGAAACUGUCAGGCUGGAGUCUUGUAGAGGGGGGUGGAAUUCCAGGUGUAGCGGUGAAAUGCGUAGAGAUCUGGAGGAAUACCGGUGGCGAAGGCGGCCCCCUGGACAAAGACUGACGCUCAGGUGCGAAAGCGUGGGGAGCAAACAGGAUUAGAGACCCCGGUAGUCCCUGUCUCUUAUAA
rnacentral:rRNA from 1 species